CUCUAAUAUUAUUCUAGAUUAUAUAUUUUAAGGAAUAUAUACAAUGAAAUAUUAGAUAUUAAAGGGGUUUGUUCCUUCCUAAAAUAGGUAAACAAAGAUUUAUGUACAAUAUGUAUUAGUAGAUAAAUUUGAAUAUACAUA
rnacentral:ncRNA from 1 species